rnacentral:rRNA from 1 species
AUGAACGCUGGCGGCGUGCCUAAUACCUGCAAGUCGCGCGAACAGACGAGGAGCUUGCUCCUCUGACGUUAGCGGCGGACGGGUGAGUAACACGUGGAUAACCUACCUAUAAGACUGGGAUAACUUCGGGAAACCGGAGCUAAUACCGGAUAAUAUAUUGAACCGCAUGGUUCAAUAGUGAAAGACGGUUUUGCUGUCACUUAUAGAUGGAUCCGCGCCGCAUUAGCUAGUUGGUAAGGUAACGGCUUACCAAGGCAACGAUGCGUAGCCGACCUGAGAGGGUGAUCGGCCACACUGGAACUGAGACACGGUCCAGACUCCUACGGGAGGCAGCAGUAGGGAAUCUUCCGCAAUGGGCGAAAGCCUGACGGAGCAACGCCGCGUGAAUGAUGAAGGUCUUCGGAUCGUAAAACUCUGUUAUUAGGGAAGAACAAAUGUGUAAGUAACUAUGCACGUCUUGACGGUACCUAAUCAGAAAGCCACGGCUAACUACGUG